rnacentral:tRNA from 2 species
GCCCUCGUGGUGGAAUUGGUAGACACAAAGGACUUAAAAUCCUUGCCCUUCGGGGAGUGCCGGUUCGAGUCCGGCCGAGGGCACCA